rnacentral:lncRNA from 1 species
CAGAGAUACCGACGUCGGUCUGUACUGACUGACAGCACAGGACCCACUUCGGCCUGUAUGGACUGAUAGCACAGAGACGCCAACGUCAGUCUGUACCAACUGACAGCACAAAGACCCACAUUGAUGUGUAUGGACUGACAGCACAGAGACGCCAACGUCAGUCUGUAUGGACUGACAGCACAAAGACCCACAUCGGUGUGUAUGGACUGAGAGCACAGAGACAGCAACAUCAGUCUGUAUUGACUAACGUAACACCAUGGUAACACCAACAUCAGUCUGUAUGGACUGACAGCACAGAGACCCACAUCGGUGUGUAUGGAAUGACAGCACAGAGACACUGAUGUCAGUCUGUAUGGACUGAUAGCACAGGGACCCACAUCGGCCUGUAUGGACUGACAGCACAGAGACAGCAACGUCAGUCUGUAUGGACUGACAUAACACCGUGGUAACACCGACAUCGGUCUGUAUGGAUUGACAGCACAGAGAUCAACAUUGCUCUGUAUGGACUGACAUAACAGCAUAACACCAACAUUGGAGUGUAUGGACUGACAGCACAGGGACCCACUUCAGUGUGUAUGGACUGACUGCACAGAGACCAACAUUGGUCUGUAUGGACUGAUAGCACAGAGAUCAACAUUGCUCUGUAUGGACUGACAUAACAGCAUAACACCAACAUUGGAGUGUAUGGACUGACAGCACAGAGAUCAACAGUGGUCUGUAUGGACUGACAGCACAGAGUCCCACAUUGCUCUGUAUGGACUGACUGCACAGAGACCCACUUCGGUGUCUAUGGACUGACAGCACAGAGACACCAACGUCGGUCUGUACUGACUGACUGCACAGAGACCCACAUUGGUGUAUAUGGACUGAUAGCACAGAGACCCACAUCGGUCUGUAUGGACUGACAGCACAGAGACACCGAUGUCAGUCUGUAUGGACUGACAGCACAGAGAUCAACAGUGGUCUGUAUGGACUGACAUAACAGCAUGAUAACACCAACAUUGGUCUGUAUGGACUGACAGCACAGGGACACCAACGUUGGUCUGUACCCACUGAUAGAACACCAUAAUAACACCAACAUCAGUGUGUAUGGACUGACAGCACAGAGACCAACAUUGGUCUGUAUGGACUGAUAGCACAGAGAUCAACAUUGCUCUGUAUGGACUGACAUAACAGCAUAACACCAACAUUGGAGUGUAUGGACUGACUGCACAGGGACCCACAUCGGCCUGUAUGGACUGACAGCACAGAGACCAACAUUGCUCUGUAUGGACUGACAGCACAGAGACCCACAUCGGCCUGUAUGGACUGACUGCACAGAGACAGCAACAUCGGUUUAUAUAGACUGACUGCACAGAGACCCACAUCGGUGUGUACAGACUGAUAGCACAGAGACACCAACGUCAGUCUGUAUUGGUGUGUAUGGACUGACAGCACAGAGACCCACAUUGGUGUGUAUGGACUGACAGCACAGAGAUCAACAGUGGUCUGUAUGGACUGACAGCACAGAGACCCACUUCGGUGUGUAUGGACUGAUAGCACAGAGACACCAAUGUCAGUCUGUAUGGACUGACAGCACAGAGACCAACAUUGUUCUGUAUGGACUGACUGCACAGAGACCCACAUCGGUCUGUAUGGACUGACAGCACAGAGACCAGCAUUGGUGUGUAUGGACUGACAUAACAGUGUGAUAACACCAAUGUCAGUCUGUACCCACUGAUAUAACAUCAUAAUAACACCAACAUCAGUGUGUAUGGACUGAUAUAACGCUGUGAUAACACCAAUGUCAGUCUGUACCCACUGAUAUAACAUCAUAACACCAACAUCAGUGUGUAUGGACUGAUAUAACGCUGUGAUAACACCAAUGUCAGUCUGUGCCCAUUGAUAUAACACCGUGAUAACACCAACAUCAGUGUGUAUGGACUGAUAUAACGCUGUGAUAACACCAAUGUCAGUCUGUACCCACUGAUAUAACAUCAUAACACCAACAUCAGUGUGUAUGGACUGCUAUAAUGCUGUGAUAACACCAGUGUCAGUCUGUGCCCAUUGAUAUAACACCGUGAUAACACCAACAUCAGUGUGUAUGGACUGAUAUAACACCGUGAUACCACCAACGUCAGUCUGUAUGGACUGACAGCACAGAGACACCGACGUUGGUCUGUAAGGACUGACGUAACAGCAUGAAAGCACCAACAUCAGUCUGUUCUGACUGACAUAACACCACGAGGACACCAACAUCAGUCUGUUCCGACUGACACAACAGCAUGGCAGCACCAAUAUCGGCCUGUAUGGACUGCUGUAACACUGUGAUGGCCCCAAUGUCAGCCUGUUCUGACUGACAUAACACCGUGAUGACCCCAAUGUCAGCCUGUUCCGACUGACAUAACACCAUGAGGACCCCAAUGUCAGCCUGGUCCAACUGACACCCCAUGGCAGCACCAACACCAGGCUGUACUGACUGACAUAACACCAUGAGGACAGCAGCAUCAGGCUGUAUUGACUGACAUAACAGCAUGGCAGCACCAAUAUCGGCCUGUAUGGACUGUUGUAACACUGUGAUGGCCCCAAUGUCAGCCUGUACUGCCUGAUAUAACACCACGAUAACACUGACAUCAGCCUGUACUGCCUGAUAUAACACCAUAGCACUGACAUCAGCCUGUACUGCCUGAUAUAACAACUGUAUAACACUGACAUCAGCCUGUACUGCCUGAUAUAACACCAUGAUAACACUGACAUCAGCCUGUACUGCCUGAUAUAACACCAUAACACUGACAUCAGCCUGUACUGCCUGAUAUAACACCAUGAUAACACUGACAUCAGCCUGUACUGCCUGAUAUAACACUG